rnacentral:rRNA from 1 species
UACGAAGGGUGCAAGCGUUAAUCGGAAUUACUGGGCGUAAAGCGUGCGCAGGCGGUUCGUCGUGUCUGAUGUGAAAGCCCCGGGCUCAACCUGGGAAUGGCAUUGGAAACUGGCGGACUAGAGUGUGGCAGAGGGGGGUGGAAUUCCGCGUGUAGCAGUGAAAUGCGUAGAUAUCGUGAGGAACACCAGAGGCGAAGGCGGUUACCUGGACAGUUACUGACGCUCAGGCACGAAAGCGUGGGGAGCAAAAGGG